rnacentral:rRNA from 1 species
CGGUGAACCCCUUCGGGGGGGAUCAGUGGCGAACGGGUGAGUAACACGUGAGCAACCUGCCCCUGGCUCUGGGACAACCACUGGAAACGGUGGCUAAUACCGGAUACGACUCGCCUCGGCAUCGAGUGCGGGUGGAAAGUUUUUCGGCUGGGGAUGGGCUCGCGGCCUAUCAGCUUGUUGGUGGGGUGAUGGCCCACCAAGGCGACGACGGGUAGCCGGCCUGAGAGGGCGACCGGCCACACUGGGACUGAGACACGGCCCAGACUCCUACGGGAGGCAGCAGUGGGGAAUAUUGCACAAUGGGCGAAAGCCUGAUGCAGCGACGCCGCGUGAGGGAUGACGGCCUUCGGGUUGUAAACCUCUUUCAGCUCCGAAGAAGCGCAAGUGACGGUAGGAGCAGAAGAAGCACCGGCUAACUACGUGCCAGCAGCCGCGGUAAUACGUAGGGUGCAAGCGUUGUCCGGAAUUAUUGGGCGUAAAGAGCUCGUAGGCGGUGUGUCGCGUCUGCUGUGAAAACUCAGGGCUCAACUCUGAGCUUGCAGUGGGUACGGGCACACUUGAGUGCUGUAGGGGAGACUGGAAUUCCUGGUGUAGCGGUGAAAUGCGCAGAUAUCAGGAGGAACACCGGUGGCGAAGGCGGGUCUCUGGGCAGUUACUGACGCUGAGGAGCGAAAGCAUGGGGAGCGAACAGGAUUAGAUACCCUGGUAGUCCAUGCCGUAAACGUUGGGCGCUAGGUG